AGAGUUUGAUCCUGGCUCAGAACGAACGCUGGCGGCAUGCCUAAUACAUGCAAGUCGAACGAAGGCUUCGGCCUUAGUGGCGCACGGGUGCGUAACGCGUGGGAAUCUGCCUUGGGGUUCGGAAUAACAGUUGGAAACGACUGCUAAUACCGGAUGAUGACGUAAGUCCAAAGAUUUAUCGCCCUGAGAUGAGCCCGCGUCGGAUUAGCUAGUUGGUGGGGUAAAGGCCUACCAAGGCGACGAUCCGUAGCUGGUCUGAGAGGAUGAUCAGCCACACUGGGACUGAGACACGGCCCAGACUCCUACGGGAGGCAGCAGUAGGGAAUAUUGGACAAUGGGCGAAAGCCUGAUCCAGCAAUGCCGCGUGAGUGAUGAAGGCCUUAGGGUUGUAAAGCUCUUUUACCCGGGAUGAUAAUGACAGUACCGGGAGAAUAAGCCCCGGCUAACUCCGUG
rnacentral:rRNA from 1 species